rnacentral:rRNA from 1 species
GUGGGGAAUAUUGGGCAAUGGGCGAAAGCCUGACCCAGCAACGCCGCGUGAAGGAAGAAGGCUUUCGGGUUGUAAACUUCUUUUGUCAGGGACGAAAAAAAUGACGGUACCUGACGAAUAAGCCACGGCUAACUACGUGCCAGCAGCCGCGGUAAUACGUAGGUGGCAAGCGUUAUCCGGAUUUACUGGGUGUAAAGGGCGUGUAGGCGGGAAAGCAAGUCAGAUGUGAAAACUAUGGGCUCAACCCAUAGCCUGCAUUUGAAACUGUUUUUCUUGAGUACUGGAGAGGCAGAUGGAAUUCCUAGUGUAGCGGUGAAAUGCGUAGAUAUUAGGAGGAACACCAGUGGCGAAGGCGAUCUGCUGGACAGCAACUGACGCUGAGGCGCGAAAGCGUGGGGAGCAAACAGGAUUAGAUACCCUGGUAGUCC